rnacentral:rRNA from 1 species
CAACUCGCCUACAUGAAGUCGGAAUCGCUAGUAAUCGCGGAUCAGCAUGCCGCGGUGAAUACGUUCCCGGGCCUUGUACACACCGCCCGUCACACCAUGAGAGUUUGUAACACCCAAAGCCGGUGGGGUAACCUUUUGGAGCCAGCCGUCUAAGGUGGGACAGAUGAUUGGGGUGAAGUCGUAACAAGGUAAC